GACAGGUGGCCCAUGCCGGAAGCAGUGGCUGCGGCACAGAAGCAGGGGGGAAUUCCUGGUAGAGAGCCCAGAGCUGCAAUGUGACAAACAGGAGGCCAGGUAUUAACAGCUCUGCUGAAUUUAAACAUACAGUGUUCUCCAGCCACAAGUGUCCACCUUUUCAUGAUAAGGCUUAUUGAAUCUGUACAUUGAGGCGUCAAGAAGAACAGCGUUUACAGGAAAAGGAAAGGUGAAGGGGAAGUAAAGAUGACUCAGGGAUGAAAGUGGUUUCUCCUAUUCUUAGGAUCCAAGCCUUUUGUGAAAUGGUGUGAGGAAGAUGUGUAUUCAGAUCUUGGCCCAGUGAAUUGGGUAUUGUCUGGAAAUAACAGAAAGUAUUGAGAAUUUAA